AUUGAACGCUGGCGGCAUGCUUUACACAUGCAAGUCGAACGGCAGCGGGGGUGCUUGCACCUGCCGGCGAGUGGCGAACGGGUGAGUAAUACAUCGGAACGUAUCCUUAAGUGGGGAAUAACGCAUCGAAAGAUGUGCUAAUACCGCAUAGUCUUUUACAAGUAAAGCAGGGGAUCGAAAGACCUUGCGCUUGAGGAGCGGCCGAUGUCUGAUUAGCUAGUUGGUGGGGUAAAGGCCUACCAAGGCGACGAUCAGUAGUUGGUCUGAGAGGACGACCAACCACACUGGGACUGAGACACGGCCCAGACUCCUACGGGAGGCAGCAGUGGGGAAUUUUGGACAAUGGGCGAAAGCCUGAUCCAGCCAUGCCGCGUGAGUGAAGAAGGCC
rnacentral:rRNA from 1 species